rnacentral:rRNA from 1 species
CGUGUAGGCGGCCAAUUAAGUCAGGCGUGAAAUCUCUGGGCUUAACCCAGAAAUUGCGUUUGAAACUGGAAGGCUUGAGGAUCGGAGAGGGCAGUGGAAUUCCCAGUGUAGCGGUGAAAUGCGUAGAUAUUGGGAGGAACACCAGUGGCGAAGGCGACUGCCUGGACGACACCUGACGCUGAGGCGCGAAAGCUAGGGGAGCAAACGGGAUUAGAUACCCCGGUAGUCCUAGCCGUAAACGAUGGGUACUAGGUGUGGGAGGUAUCGACCCCUUCCGUGCCGCAGUUAACACAAUAAGUACCCCGCCUGGGGAGUACGGCCGCAAGGUUGAA